rnacentral:rRNA from 1 species
GACGAACGCUGGCGGCGUGCUUAACACAUGCAAGUCGAACGAAGAGCGAUGGAAGCUUGCUUCUAUCAAUCUUAGUGGCGAACGGGUGAGUAACGCGUAAUCAACCUGCCCUUCAGAGGGGGACAACAGUUGGAAACGACUGCUAAUACCGCAUACGAUCUGACCUCGGCAUCGAGGAUAGAUGAAAGGUGGCCUCUACAUGUAAGCUAUCACUGAAGGAGGGGAUUGCGUCUGAUUAGCUAGUUGGAGGGGUAACGGCCCACCAAGGCGAUGAUCAGUAGCCGGUCUGAGAGGAUGAACGGCCACAUUGGGACUGAGACACGGCCCAGACUCCUACGGGAGGCAGCAGUGGGGAAUCUUCCGCAAUAGACGAAAGUCUGACGGAGCAACGCCGCGUGAGUGAUGGCGGCCUUCGGGUUGUAAAGCUCUGUUAAUCGGGACGAAAGGCCUUUUUGCGAAUAGUGAGAAGGAUUGACGGUACCGGAAUAGAAAGCCACGGCUAACUACGUG